GGUGGCUCAGUGGUAGAGUGCUUGCCUCACAUGCAUAAGGCCCUGGGUUCGAUUCCUCAGCACCA
rfam:Dipodomys ordii contig_731, whole genome shotgun sequence.